rnacentral:rRNA from 1 species
GCUCAGUAACACGUGGAUAACCUACCCUUAGGACCGGGAUAACCUUGGGAAACUGAGGAUAAUACUGGAUAGGCAAUUAUUCCUGCAAUGGUUUUUUGUUUAAAUGUUUUUUCGCCUAAGGAUGGGUCUGCGGCCGAUUAGGUAGUUGGUUAGGUAAUGGCUUACCAAGCCAUUGAUCGGUACGGGUUGUGAGAGCAAGAGCCCGGAGAUGGAACCUGAGACAAGGUUCCAGGCCCUACGGGGUGCAGCAGGCGCGAAACCUCCGCAAUGUGAGAAAUCGCGACGGGGGGAUCCCAAGUGCCAUUCUUAACGGGAUGGCUUUUCAUUAGUGUAAAGAGCUUUUGGAAUAAGAGCUGGGCAAGACCGGUGCCAGCCGCCGCGGUAACACCGGCAGCUCUAGUGGUAGCAGUUUUUAUUGGGCCUAAAGUGUCCGUAGCCGGUUUAAUAAGUCUCUGGUGAAAUCCUGUAGCUUAACUGUGGGAAUUGCUGGAGAUACUAUUAGACUUGAGAUCGGGAGAGGUUAGAGGUACUCCCAGGGUAGAGGUGAAAUUCUGUAAUCCUGGGAGGACCGCCUGUUGCGAAGGCUUCUAACUGGAACGAUUCUGACGGUGAGGGACGAAAGUUAGGGGCGCGAACCGGAUUAGAUACCCGGGUAGUCCUAACUGUAAACGAUGCGGACUUGGUGUUGGGGUGGCUUUGAGCUGCUCCAGUGCCGAAGGGAAGCUGUUAAGUCCGCCGCCUGGAAGUACGGUCGCAAGACUGAAACUUAAAG